rnacentral:rRNA from 1 species
UGGUGGGGUGACUUGUCUGCUUAAUUGCGAUAACGAACGAGACCUUAACCUGCUAAAUAGCCCGUAUUGCUCCGGCAGUGCGCUGGCUUCUUAGAGGGACUUUCGGCUCAAGCCGAAGGAAGUUUGAGGCAAUAACA